AUCACGUCAGGGUUACGGUGUCAUCAAGUGUAAUAUCUGUUCUUAUCAGUUUAAUAUGAUACGUCCUCGAUGAGAGGACUUCAUAUUAAACUUUUUCUUUUUGGUUGUCUUGCCCCUCUCGGGAGGGCUGCAGCCUGAGCGGUGGGACUUGAUGGCGUCAGCCACA
rnacentral:snRNA from 1 species